GGGUGACGUCACUGGUGACGCGCCACUUCACUGAGUCAGGGUCGCCACACAGCGCAAUCCUCCCACCCGCCACCACCAGCCUUCCAUUCUUACACCAUCUAACGAAACUAGUUUGUGGCAGCGACGUACUCGAUCACAUAUAAGGCGGCUCCCACUACUUACCAGACACAGUACAACUCCGACACCAGAUCAGUGAUGGCUGUGUCGCAGAGCUGUGUGGUGGUGAGGCGUGAGGGAGGCUCCCUUGACGGGUCCUGCCCCUGGUGACUGCAACCUACGCCUCACCAGGGGCAGGACACAUUGCUCCUCUACUCAGACUGAUCUGCCCAGGCGACACAUGGCGAGGACCUCCUGUACUGUUGCUGCUGGUGACUCAAACUGACUCACCUCACGACGCACACAACGGCGUGAGGUGUUCCAACUACCACUAUGAUGUGACCACAGAGGCUACUACACCUGUAGUACAGCACCAACACCCGUGGUACACCACCUUCACCCGUGGUACAGCACCUCCACCCGUGGUACAACACCACCACCUGUGGUACAACACCUCUACCCGCCACAGUCCACACGGGUGGUGCAGGAGUCAUGGGUGUUGUAGGUCCUGCGGCAGGUCUCCAACACCCCUGAAACACAGCAGGACUCCACCUCCUGCUCGACUCAGCGGCUCCAGGCAGCCUCCAUCAGGAGGUCCUGACGACUCAGGACUUGUCAACGAACCAUUUUACCUCACCUCACCUUGUGUUGUUGACACUGCAGUAUUGUAUUACAGCAAUAUGUAAAACUAAUCAUUUAUUGUCUAUCAUUCCCACAAUUCAUCAGAAUAUUGUAAUAUCACAUCAUCACUUGUCUAGGGUGUUCAUACAUUACCAUAAAAGUAAACAAAGUUUU